CUCAAAAGUUACCAAAGAAACUAUAUUUUACCCUAUAAACAAUUUACUAUUCGACUUUCAGAUACAGGUCUCAAAAAUGGCGUAAUACUAAUGUAUCAACGUCACAAAACGUGACGGCACAGAUAAAUUUCUAAAAAUAGACUAUAAAAAUAUGUUUAGGUUUGUAAUGAUGUUGCUUUAUGUAUUUUCUAAAAGAAGGGCGAAAGAAACCAAAGUGAUAUUCAAAAUCAGAAAUCGAAGAUAAACUGACAACGGCAUGACUAAAAAUGAAAAAGACAAACAGACAAAUAAUAGCACACAAAACACAAC
rnacentral:lncRNA from 1 species